CCUACGGGACGCAGCAGUAGGGAAUCUUCCACAAUGGGCGAAAGCCUGAUGGAGCAACGCCGCGUGGGUGAAGAAGGUCUUCGGCUCGUCCAACCCUGUUGUUAGCGACGAAAGUGCGUGAGAGUAACUGUUCACGUUUCGACGGUAUCUAACCAGAAAGCCACGGCUAACUACGUGCCAGCAGCCGCGGUAAUACGUAGGUGGCAAGCGUUAUCCGGAUUUAUUGGGCGUAAAGGGCACGCAGGCGGUCUUUUAAGUCUGAUGUUGAAGCCUUCGUCUUAACCGGAGUAGUGCAUUGG
rnacentral:rRNA from 1 species